rnacentral:rRNA from 1 species
UACGGGGGGGGUAAGCGUUGUUCGGAAUUACUGGGCGUAAAGCGCGCGUAGGCGGAUUUGCAAGUCGGGGGUGAAAGCCCGAGGCUCAACCUCGGAACUGCCCUCGAUACUGCAAAUCUCGAGUCCGAGAGAGGUGAGUGGAAUUCCUAGUGUAGAGGUGAAAUUCGUAGAUAUUAGGAAGAACACCAGUGGCGAAGGCGGCUCACUGGCUCGGUACUGACGCUGAGGCGCGAAAGCUAGGGGAGCAAACGGG